GGAGGAAGGAAGGGCGUGCCCGAAUCUUCCAUAGGCUCAGGCCCUAUUCUGCGGGAGCAGGAUAGCUAAAAGGCGUUAAGCCGCCUAGGGAUUUCUCGAUGUAGGCUCAGGUUGUUGGGGAGGUAAAAGCUCCCCAAGCCGACGACCCUUCGCCGGUCUUCGCGGACGAUCGGCCACAUGGGGACUGAGACAAGGCCCCAACGUUUCUACGGCAGCAGUGUGGAAUCUUGGGCAAUGGGGGCAACCCUGACCCAGCUAUGUCGCGAGGGCGAGAACGGCUGUAAACGGUAUCAGGUCGUAAAGCUCUGUCGGCAGGGGGGAAAAUGACGUACCCUGCGGAAGCUAGCUCCGGCCAACCUCGUGCCAGCAGCCGCGGUAAUACGAGGGGAGCAGGUGUUCUACGGUCAAACUGGGCGUAAAGGGUUCUCCGGCGGAAAGUGGGCGUGUAGGACGAGAGCAUUCCGCCUGUUAAGCGGGAUCGUCUCCUAAACUCCAUUUCAUGAGUUGGAACCGGCGAGGGCGGAAGUCCAGGGACGAGCGUUAGCAUGGCUUAGACGCCUGGAGGACGGCCACGGGCGCAGGCCUCCCUCGAGCUCCGACUGACGCUUCGGAACGAAAGCGUGGGGAGCGAUCGGGAAUAGAGACCCCGGUAGUCCACGCCCUGAUCGAUAGGAAGUGGAGAUGCCCGUCAGCGUGUGUCUCCUUGUUAACGCAAAACUUCCUCGCCUGAGAAGUACGGCCGCAAGGUUGAAACUCAAAGGAAUUGACGGGGGCCUUUUGCAAACGGUGGAACAUGUGGUUUAAUUCGAUGAUCCGCGCAAAACCUUACCAGCCUCGACAAGGUGUUGCAUGGCUGUCGUCAGCCCGUGUCGUGAGAUGUGUCGUGUCGACGCGUAACGGGCACACCCCUCCCGAGCUGUUGCUCAGUCGUUCCUGCUUUUGGUUUCUGAAGGUAGGCAACGACCGGACUCUGCUCGACAUCGUUUGGUAAAGCCGUAGAAAAUCUAGCUGGUUUUCUCCUUUUUCAAACGAGGAUGUGGGGGACGAGGUCAAGUCGUCAUGGCCCGUAUAGGCUGGGCUACCCAUGUGUUACAAUGGGGGUGACAAAGAGUGACAAGGCGGCAACGCGGAGUCAAUCUCGUAAACGCCCCCUUAGUGCGAAUAGGAGGCUGCAACUCGCCCUCCUUGAAGUCGGAAUCGUUAGUAAUCGUGGAUCAGCACGCCACGGUGAAUGGUUUGGGGCCUUGUACACACCGCCCGUCACGUCAGGGGAGUGAGAUUAGCUAGAAGGGUUCCCCCUCUACUGCCCUUUAACACGCUUAGAAUGCUCGUUGGGUAGUCUAUGUGUUCCGGUAUUAGAGGGAGACCAGACAGACGGUCUCGUAACCGUGAUGAAGUCGUAACAAGGUAGCCG
rnacentral:rRNA from 1 species